GACCAUCUCUGUGGGCGGAGAGAUGUUCAACAGAAGCUUUAAAGUAAAGACCUGAGAUAUUCUACGUCUAUACAGAUACUGACAAAGAGAGAGAAGGUCGGCCUCUUAAUCCAGUUUAUGUUUGUGCAGAAAUCAGACUAAUGUUUAUAACAGCAGCACAGUUUCAGUUUCAACAAACAUGUUUUCAUUUUAGACAAACUCCAAACUCCAAAACAGGCGUGUAAAAAGAAACAGACUGAAGACUAAACAUCAUCCAGCUGUGGUCAGAAACACUCAUCAGAAAUCAUCAGCCUCAGACCGCGGCGGCGGCGAGGAGAGAGGAGAGAGGAGAGAGGAGAGAGGAGAGAGGAGAGCGGUACAAACGAGUUUUUAAUGAAAAACAGCUGAAAACAAGAGAAAGAGCAACAAGAGCGAGGAAGACGAGGAAACACAAACAUCUGAUCACACCCUGAUGAUCGGACCAGGAGGAGACCGCUGAGUCUGGACCCAACCACCACAGAAGAAGAAACACAGCCAGGAGGACUCCACAAGGAAC